UGUUCGUACUCGCCGUUGUAAGCAUACCUCUAAAAGCAAGUAUGCCGCCAUGACUACUAAACUCAUAUACAUCAGGUCAAAGUGCAGCUAAUAAGAAGGUGAUGAUGGGUUACAACCCCAAAAUAGAAUAUCAACUAAGAAAUAAAAAAUCUUACGAAAGUGGACUUGGCCGUAAUCAAUUUACAAGUUAAAAAAAUGAAUAAAUAUCUAAGAUAUGUACACAUCGCCCGUCAUUCUACCCUAAAGGGUAGACAAGUCGUAACAAAGUAGGCGUAAUGGAAAUUGCGCCUGUCGAAGCAUAGCAUAUAUAAUGCUUUUUACUUACACUAAAAAUAAAGUUAAAUACUUGCUUCGCCUAAAACUAUAUAUCUUAAUAAAUAUUUUAUGACCUUCACCCAUUAAAAAUUAAAGUACAGAAAUGGAAACAUAUAAUAAAUAAAAGUAAAUAUUAAUAGUUGUACCUUGUGCAUUAUGGUUUUACAAGAAAAUAAUUAAAGACAUUAACCCCGAAUUCUUAAUGAGAUGUUAAACUGCUGUUAAGAACCCAUUAAUAACUGUGGAAAAAGCUUUAAGAGAUUAGUUAACAGAGGCUACAUACCAUCCGCAUAAGAAUAUAUCUGGUUUUCAACAAACAUUAUCUAUUAAAACAUAUAGUAAAACCUAUACUGUAAGAUUAUUGAGGAUAAGCCCAAUAAUAAGAGCAAUUUUAAAGAAAGUCUAUUUCAUUAGUUAGGCCUAAAAUCAGUCAACUAAAGUGCUUUACCGCAACCAAUAAAGACACAAUUCAUAAACUAGCAUGCUAAAUAAAGUUGAAAUAAUGAACAAAUUACACUCACUCACACAUAAUAUGUAAAAAUAAGUAUUAAUAAUAUAUAUAAAGACCUAACACGUAAAUAUCACCCAUAUAAAACCUAAUAACUAAUUAAGGAACUCGGCAAACUAUUAUUUCGACUGUUUAACAAAAACAUUGUCCCAUGAAAUAUAUAUAUGGGAUAAUACCUGCCCA
rnacentral:rRNA from 1 species